rnacentral:rRNA from 1 species
ACUCCUGCGGGAGGCAGCAGUGGGGAAUUUUGGACAAUGGGCGAAAGCCUGAUCCAGCAAUGCCGCGUGAGUGAAGAAGGCCUUCGGGUUGUAAAGCUCUUUUGUCAGGGAAGAAACGGUGAAAGCUAAUAUCUUUUGCUAAUGACGGUACCUGAAGAAUAAGCACCGGCUAACUACGUGCCAGCAGCCGCGGUAAUACGUAGGGUGCAAGCGUUAAUCGGAAUUACUGGGCGUAAAGCGUGCGCAGGCGGUUUUGUAAGUCGGAUGUGAAAUCCCCGGGCUCAACCUGGGAAUUGCAUUGGAGACUGCAAGGCUAGAAUCUGGCAGAGGGGGGUAGAAUUCCACGUGUAGCAGUGAAAUGCGUAGAUAUGUGGAGGAACACCGAUGGCGAAGGCAGCCCCCUGGGUCAAGAUUGACGCUCAUGCACGAAAGCGUGGGGAGCAAACAGGAUUAGAUACCCGAGUAGUCCCA